GUGGGGAAUCUUGCGCAAUGGGCGAAAGCCUGACGCAGCCAUGCCGCGUGAAUGAUGAAGGUCUUAGGAUUGUAAAAUUCUUUCACCGGGGACGAUAAUGACGGUACCCGGAGAAGAAGCUCCGGCUAACUUCGUGCCAGCAGCCGCGGUAAUACGAAGGGGGCUAGCGUUGCUCGGAAUUACUGGGCGUAAAGGGCGCGUAGGCGGACAGCUUAGUCAGAGGUGAAAGCCCAGGGCUCAGCCUUGGAAUUGCCUUUGAUACUGGCUGUCUUGAGUUUGGGAGAGGUGAGUGGAACUCCGAGUGUAGAGGUGAAAUUCGUAGAUAGUCGGAAGAACACCAGUGGCGAAGGCGACUCACUGGCCCAAUACUGACGCUGAGGCGCGAAAGCGUGGGGAGCAAACAGGAUUAGAAACCCCAGUAGUCC
rnacentral:rRNA from 1 species